rnacentral:rRNA from 1 species
AUUGAACGCUGGCGGCAGGCCUAACACAUGCAAGUCGAACGAGUGGCGGACGGGUGAGUAAUGUCUGGGAAACUGCCCGAUGGAGGGGGAUAACUACUGGAAACGGUAGCUAAUACCGCAUACCAUCGGAUGUGCCCAGAUGGGAUUAGCUAGUAGGUGGGGUAACGGCUCACCGAGGCGACGAGCCCUAGCUGGUGUGAGAGGAUGACCAGCCAAACUGGAACUGAGACAGGGUCGAGACUCAUAGGGGGGGCAGCAGGGGGGAAGUUUGCACAAUGGGCGCAAGCCUGAUGCAGCCAUGCCGGGUGUAUGAAGAAGGCCUUGGGGUUGUAAAGUACUUUCAGCGGGGAGAGGUUACCCGCAGAAGAAGCACCGGCUAACUCCGUGCCAGCAGCCGGGUAAUAC